CCAUAGCCCUGAUAGAAGUGGAAAUCCUUUUGUGCCGGGGUUCGGCACAAAAGAUUGUAACGGAUAGCAGGAAACAGC
rnacentral:sRNA from 1 species